rnacentral:rRNA from 1 species
GUAAUACGGAGGGUGCGAGCGUUAAUCGGAAUUACUGGGCGUAAAGCGUGCGUAGGCGGUUCGUUAAGUCAGAUGUGAAAGCCCUGGGCUCAACCUGGGAACUGCAUUUGAAACUGGCGGACUAGAGUUUAGUAGAGGGGAGUGGAAUUUCAGGUGUAGCGGUGAAAUGCGUAGAUAUCUGAAGGAACACCAGUGGCGAAGGCGACUCCCUGGACUAGAACUGACGCUGAGGUACGAAAGCGUGGGUAGCAAACAGGAUUAGAUACCCUGGUAGUCCACGCCGUAAACGAUGUCGACUAGCCGUUGGUCCUAUUUACAGGAUUAGUGGCGCAGCUAACGCAUUAAGUCGACCGCCUGGGGAGUACGGCCGCAAGGUUAAAACUCAAAGGAAUUGACGGGGACCCGCACAAGCGGUGGAGCAUGUGGUUUAAUUCGAUGCAACGCGAAGAACCUUACCUGGUCUUGACAUCCUAGGAAUCCUGCAGAGAUGCGGGAGUGCCUUCGGGAACCUGGAGACAGGUGCUGCAUGGCUGUCAUCAGCUCGUGUCGUGAGAUGUUGGGUUAAGUCCCGCAACGAGCGCAACCCUUGCCCUUAGUUGCCAUCAUUAAGUUGGGAACUCUAAGGGGGCCGCCGGUGACAAACCGGAGGAAGGUGGGGAUGACGUCAAGUCAUCAUGGCCCUUAUGACCAGGGCUACACACGUGCUACAAUGGUCGGUACAGAGGGUCGCCAACCCGCGAGGGGGAGCCAAUCCCACAAAACCGAUCGUAGUCCGGAUUGCAGUCUGCAACUCGACUGCAUGAAGUCGGAAUCGCUAGUAAUCGCGAAUCAGCAUGUCGCGGUGAAUACGUUCCCGGGUCUUGUACACACCGCCCGU